rnacentral:precursor_RNA from 14 species
CCUCCCUCGUUCGAGAUUGCUCUCACCCGGGCAUCAAACUGGUUGUGGUUUGUCACGUCAGAUAUCAUAUCACAGCCAUCUUUGAUGACCCUGGCCCGGCAAAUUGGCAUCGUGGUUGUG